AGCCCCGUGGUCUAAUGGUACGACACCAGCAUGCUCUGAAAUCAUGAAAAGCUGGAGAAUGCAAGUUCGAUUUUCGCCGAGGCAG